rnacentral:snRNA from 1 species
GUCCUAGCUUUGGCAGCAUGGACACGAAAACUAGACCGAAGCAGAGAAAAUGAGCUUGGCCCCUGUGCAAGCAUGACAUAAAAAUCCUUGAAGCACUUCAUAAUUUU